rnacentral:rRNA from 1 species
ACAAUGGCAAGGAGGUCACACCUGUUCCCAUGCCGAACACAGAAGUUAAGCUCCUUAGCGCCGAUGGUAGUCGGA